rnacentral:rRNA from 1 species
AUUGAACGCUGGCGGCAGGCUUAACACAUGCAAGUCGAGCGGAGAUGAGGUGCUUGCACCUUAUCUUAGCGGUGGACGGGUGAGUAAUGCUUAGGAAUCUGCCUAUUAGUGGGGGACAACAUUCCGGAAGGAAUGCUAAUACCGCAUACGUCCUACGGGAGAAAGCAGGGGACCUUCGGGCCUUGCGCUAAUAGAUGAGCCUAAGUCGGGUUAGCUAGUUGGUGGGGUAAAGGCCUACCAAGGCGACGAUCUGUAGCGGGUCUGAGAGGAUGAUCCGCCACACGUGGACUGAGACACGGCCCAGACUCCUACGGGAGGCAGCAGUGGGGAAUAUUGGACAAUGGGCGGAAGCCUGAUCUAGCCAUGCCGCGUGUGUGAAGAAGGCCUUUUGGUUGUAAAGCACUUUAAGCGAGGAGGAGGCUACCUGGAUUAAUACUCUAGGAUAGUGGACGUUACUCGCAGAAUAAGCACCGGCUAACUCUGUGCCAGCAGCCGCCGUAAGAC